UCCCAAACACUCUCAUUCCUGAAACCCUAACCCUCGCGACGACUGACACUAUCGCUUCCUCCUCCAACUGCCGCCUCCAUAAAGCCAUCACCCGCAGCCGGCCCACCUCAACCCUUCCUGUCGCCCUCUCCCCCCCUUUGCCUCCACACCCCAGACAAGAGGUCUGCAACAUAUUGCAGAACAACAAUCACUAUCUCUUCGCCUUCCCACUCGCGAAGCAAAUUUGAAACUCAUCUCUCUCUCAAUGGGUAUUUUGCGAAGGUAAGGGGAGGUUGCGGUUGCGGGAUUCAUUGGGAAGACGGCGGUUUUGGAGCGGGGUUGAUUGAUGGCAGACGGCGGAGAGGUUGUCGGGGUUGCCAAGGAGGGUGGGGGAGCACCUCGGGGUGGU
rnacentral:lncRNA from 1 species